rnacentral:rRNA from 2 species
UGGCGGCGAUAGCGCGGUGGUCCCACCUGACCCCAUGCCGAACUCAGAAGUGAAACGCCGUAGCGCCGAUGGUAGUGUGGGGCUUCCCCAUGCGAGAGUAGGGAACUGCCAGGCU